rnacentral:rRNA from 1 species
AACGAACGCUGGCGGCAUGCCUAACACAUGCAAGUCGAACGAGACCUUCGGGUCUAGUGGCGCACGGGUGCGUAACGCGUGGGAACAUGCCCUUAGGUGCGGAAUAACUCCCCGAAAGGGGUGCUAAUACCGGAUAAUGUCUUCGGACCAAAGAUUUAUCGCCUUUGGAUGGGCCCGCGUUGGAUUAGCUAGUUGGUAGGGUAAAAGCCUACCAAGGCGACGAUCCAUAGCUGGUCUGAGAGGAUGAUCAGCCACACUGGGACUGAGACACGGCCCAGACUCCUACGGGAGGCAGCAGUGGGGAAUAUUGGACAAUGGGCGAAAGCCUGAUCCAGCCAUGCCGCGUGAGUGAUGAAGGCCUUAGGGUUGUAAAGCUCUUUUACCCGGGAUGAUAAUGACAGUACCGGGAGAAUAAGCUCCGGCUAACUCCGUG